UACGUAGGGGGCAAGCGUUGUCCGGAUUUAUUGGGCGUAAAGAGCGUGUAGGCGGCCUGAAAGGUCAGCUGUGAAAACUCGAGGCUCAACCUCGAGACGUCGGUUGAAACCAUCUGGCUAGAGUCCGGAAGAGGAGAGUGGAAUUCCCGGUGUAGCGGUGAAAUGCGCAGAUAUCGGGAAGAACACCGGUGGCGAAGGCGGGUCUCUGGGCCGAUAUUGACGCUGAGGAGCGAAAGCGUGGGGAGCGAACAGG
rnacentral:rRNA from 1 species